rnacentral:rRNA from 1 species
ACUGCGAAUGGCUCAUUAAAUCAGUUAUCGUUUAUUUGAUAGUACCUUACUACAUGGAUACCUGUGGUAAUUCUAGAGCUAAUACAUGCUAAAAACCCCGACUUCAGGAAGGGGUGUAUUUAUUAGAUAAAAAACCAACGCCCUUCGGGGCUCCUUGGUGAAUCAUAAUAACUUAACGAAUCGCAUGGCCUUGCGCCGGCGAUGGUUCAUUCAAAUUUCUGCCCUAUCAACUUUCGAUGGUAGGAUAGUGGCCUACCAUGGUGGCAACGGGUAACGGGGAAUUAGGGUUCGAUUCCGGAGAGGGAGCCUGAGAAACGGCUACCACAUCCAAGGAAGGCAGCAGGCGCGCAAAUUACCCAAUCCCGAUACGGGGAGGUAGUGACAAUAAAUACUGAUACGGGGCUCUUUUGGGUCUCGUAAUUGGAAUGAGAACAAUUUAAAUCCCUUAACGAGGAACAAUUGGAGGGCAAGUCUGGUGCM